rnacentral:rRNA from 1 species
GAUGAACGCUGGCGGCGUGCCUAAUACAUGCAAGUCGAGCGAACAGACGAGGAGCUUUCUCCUCUGACGUUAGCGGCUGACGGGUGAGUAACACGUGGAUGACCUACCUAUAAGACUUGGAUAACUUCGGGAAACCGGUGCUAAUACCGGAUAAUAUAUUGAACCGCAUGGUUCAAUAGUGAAAGACGGUUUUGCUGUCACUUAUAGAUGGAUCCGCGCCGCAUUAGCUAGUUGGUAAGGUAACGGCUUACCAAGGCAACGAUGCGUAGCCGACCUGAGAGGGUGAUCGGCCACACUGGAACUGAGACACGGUCCAGACUCCUACGGGAGGCAGCAGUAGGGAAUCUUCCGCAAUGGGCGAAAGCGUGACGGAGCAACGCCGCGUGAGUGAUGAAGGUCUUCGGAUCGUAAAACUCUGUUAUUAGGGAAGAACAAAUGUGUAAGUAACUAUGCACGUCUUGACGGUACCUAAUCAGAAAGCCACGGCUAACUACGUG